rnacentral:rRNA from 1 species
GACGAACGCUGGCGGCGUGCCUAAUACAUGCAAGUCGAACGCAGUGGGGACGGGUUAGUAACACGUGGUCAACCUCCCGUCAACGGGGAUAACACUUGGAAACAGGUGCUAAACCGAUACUGACGGAUGGACCCGCGGUGCAUUAGCUAGUUGGUGAGGUAACGGCCAACCAGGGCCACGAUGCAUAGCGGACCGCAGAGGGUGAACGGCAAAACGGGAACUGAGACACGGCCCAGACGCCUACGGGAGGCAGCAGUGGGGAAUCUUGGGCAAUGGACGAAAGUCUGCCCGAGCAACGCGGGGUGAGUGAAGAAGGUUUUCGGAUGGUAAGACGCUGUUGUUAGGGAGGCGGUAUCUAACCAGAAAGCCACGGCUAACUACGUGCCAGCAGCCGCGGUAAUAC